AUCCGAUAGCCGUCCAACGAAUCUCUCCAUCCUCUUCGUCUUCUCCGUUUUCUCUACUUGCGAUCUCCAUUACUAAGCCUUCUCUGCCAUCAAUCAAUCGUUCUCUUUAAUACACACUUCAUGUCUUUCGUUUCACCUCCCUAUCUAUCUCCUUAUUUUAUAAACUACUUCGUCUUCCAGUCAAAACCGAAGAGCUCCUCUUUUUUCUUUUGUGAUCAACUUUCCAGGGUACGACCGAAGAGCUCCUCUCAAUAAGCCGAAUCCAUGGCGAUGAACCCAACGGAGAAACAUGUCUCCAUCUCACCAGGGUUAUAUGGUUCCGAGCUACGCCUCCGACUGUUACAUUUCUUGAAGUGAGGAACAAAAUACGAGAACUAAAGGUUGCAAACAGAAAGGAAAUUCGAAGCAAACAUCAAAUAAUUAGCAAGAAGAGAGGAACAAAUGUAUCGACAGCACUGGCGGUGAGUAUUCAUGGAGGGAUUAGUCGUACCAGAGAGAUGUGGAACGAAAUACUAAAAAUAGGUCCAAGUCCAACCAAAAAUCAAGGUGGUCUUCUUCGUCUUGAAGUUCAGACACUAAGCCAACAGAGUAAAGAAAGGACUGAAGCAAGGUACCAGAAGAGCAGAGCAAGGAUUGCAAAAAAAAAAAAAGUCAACGCCUUGCUUCAGCUUUCCUCCCAACAAUUAGCUGUCGUAUACAAGGAGGGCAUAAAGCAAUUGCAUGGCAUAACUCAUGGGGUCUCAAUACCAGAUUGGUAAUUGUUUAAUCUUAGUGUGAUUUAUUUUGUUUUGGCGUUUUUGGUAAUGUUAUUUUCUCUAAUAUCAAAAUUGGGUUCAUGUAACAUAGAUUAGAGUUAUGUUUAUGAAUCAUGGAGAUGACAAAGACUUAGCAUUUCCUCCAAAAGUUGCAAAUCAAGUAGUUGAUCCCAAUUUCCUUUAAAGAUAUUGUCUCGGAAGCAUUUUUGAUGUGUGUGAAACUAUUGAAUCCACCUUGCUUGGGACUUGAAACCGUGCUAAAAUAGGGUUUUACGACAACUUUUAUUGCCAUUGGAAGUAUUCAGAUCGGGGAACUAGAAGGUGUUCCAAUGGGAGUUGAAAAUGGUCCAAGAGAUUUGGCUAAAAAUUAGGCCAGCCGUGUCUCAUAGUAUGUGUGUAGGGUAACAGUUUCUUAAAUUCUUGGGAACAGCUGAGAUGGAUUUCAUGAGAGAAGACUUCACUACAAAAUCAAGGACUUUCUGGAAAAAGAGAAAGGUCGAAGAAACCACUCAAAGGUAAAACUAGGUGGAUUUUGUCGAAGAUUUGAGCUAAAGAGAAAUUAUUUUUUUCUGACUUGAACCAAAAAAUCACAUUGGAAGAGCUUCUUGACGAGGAAGAAAUUAUUCAAGAGUGCUAAGGAAGAGCCGACUCAUACAUUUAUAUUUGUUCUGAUUUUUUUCUCGAUACAUCAUUCACAUUUCUUAGAAAAAGUUUCUGACUAGACUUUGGAGUAUUGAUGUUUUCAGUCUUAUGUGAUAAAUCUCGAGUGUAGAAACUAUUGUGGUAUGUUGUUGAAGAACCUCAGGAUGAUGCUACUUUCGAUUAAUAUAUAGUUCGUACUUAUAGUGUGUAUCUGGCAGACUAAUUUG